rnacentral:rRNA from 1 species
AUACGUAGGUGACAAGCGUUAUCCGGAUUUACUGGGCGUAAAGGGCGUGUAGGCGGUCUUGCAAGUCAGAAGUGAAAUUCCUGAGCUCAACUCGGGCGCUGCUUCUGAAACUGCAGGACUUGAGUGCUGGAGGGGAUAGCGGAAUUCCUAGUGGAGCGGUAAAAUGCGCAGAUAUUAGGAAGAACACCGGUGGCGAAGGCGACUAGCUGGACGGUAACUGACGCUGGGGCGCGAAAGCGUGGGGAGCAAACAGGAUUGGAUACCCUGGGAGUCCACGCCGUAAACGAUGAAUACUAGGUGUAGGGAGUAUCGACUCCCUCUGUGCCGCAGUUAACACAAUAAGUAUUCCGCCUGGGGAGUACGGCCGCAAGGUUGAAACUCAAAUGAAUUGACGGGG